rnacentral:rRNA from 1 species
AUUGAACGCUGGCGGAAUGCUUUACACAUGCAAGUCGAACGGCAGCACGGACUUCGGUCUGGUGGCGAGUGGCGAACGGGUGAGUAAUGUAUCGGAACGUGCCCAGUCGUGGGGGAUAACGUAGUGAAAAUUACGCUAAUACCGCAUACGAUCUAUGGAUGAAAGCGGGGGAUCGCAAGACCUCGCGCGAUUGGAGCGGCCGAUAUCAGAUUAGGUAGUUGGUGGGGUAAAGGCCCACCAAGCCAACGAUCUGUAGCUGGUCUGAGAGGACGACCAGCCACACUGGAACUGAGACACGGUCCAGACUCCUACGGGAGGCAGCAGUGGGGAAUUUUGGACAAUGGGCGAAAGCCUGAUCCAGCCAUUCCGCGUGCAGGAUGAAGGCCCUCGGGUUGUAAACUGCUUUUGUACAGAACGAAAAGGUUUCCACUAAUACUAGGAGCUCAUGACGGUACUGUAAGAAUAAGCGCCGGCUAACUACGUGCCAGCAGCCGCCGCGG